rnacentral:misc_RNA from 1 species
GGAAGGAUCAUUCACAAAGGGAGGGUGCUUCGGCAUCCUCCUUACCCACUCACCUGUGUCAAGUCGCUGGCUGGUGGUUGCGGUUGGGGCGAGCAAUUGCCCGGCGCAGCCAUUGGCUAGCAUCCAAUUUACUCAAUAAUGCCCUGAUAAUUCUCCUCCGAGACUGAUCAACCCAGCGUCUGACGGGGUCCCUUGCGGACUCUGCGCGCAAAAACAGUAACACAACUGUUGGCAACGGAUCACUCGGCUCUCGUGUCGAUGAAGAGCGUAGCGAAUUGCGAAAUUAAUGCGAUCUGCAACAGUCGUGAAUCAUCGAGUCCUUGAACGCACCUUGCACCCUUUGGCUCGUCCACUGGGUCUGCCUGGGUAAGUAUCGACUACAUCAUCUCGCAGGCAGUGUGGUUGCUUUCGAGCGACCACGCUGCCAGGCGGACAUGGGCGCAUCCGCUGUCCGGGUUAAAACCGGACGGUGGUGGCCUUAAAUGCAACUAGCCAGUGGGGAAAGUGUGUGUGUAGAUGCGUGUUUGCCAAGUGCGCUGUAGGCUGCCUGCGUGCAAACCUUCAGGCCUGUCAUUAUUGCUCUCUGUUGCUGCACUCCCUUGGACGUUUUCAGUCGGACCUUGGUCGGGACCGUCUGUUUGGCAUCGCAAGAUGCCAGGAAGCGUCGGAAACGGGGCAGUCGUUGAGCGCGUAUGGCGGGUAGUUGGGCGCGGGCCGUGGCCUUGAUGCACCGAGGGAGCCAUCCCUCCGGAUCACAAACACCUAUGCACCAAGCACGCCCCGAUUGUUGGCUGUGCGCUGCUGGCCCCGUGCCACCCAGUGCCGAAUCCAUAGGCUAGCCUGGUGCGAACCGGCAGCCAGACCAUCCAAAUCGAUCUCACCUCAGGCAGGAUUACCCGCUGAACUUAAGCAUAUCAAUAAGCGGAGGAAAAGAAACCAACAGGGAUUCCCCUAGUAACGGCGAGUGAAGCGGGAAGAGCUCAAACUGAAAAUCGGGUCGGUCAUGCAGCACCGGUCCCGACGUGUCAUUUGAUGAGCCAGGUUCGGCGGCAGCCCGGGUCCAAGUCCUCUGGAAAGGGGCAUCAAGGAGGGUGAAAAUCCCGUCCAUGGCCUGCGAGAGCUUGCUGUCAUUCUGUGAGCCUGGUUCGGCGAGUCGGAUUGUUUGGGAAUGCAGUCCAAAGCGGGUGGUAAACUCCAUCUAAGGCUAAAUACCGGCGAGAGACCGAUAGCGAACAAGUACCGUGAGGGAAAGUUGAAAAGCACUCUGAAGAGAGAGUGAAAAAGUACGUGAAAUUGCCAACAGGGAAGCGAUGGGCGUCAGUACUCGCUUGCGGCGGGAUCAGGUGUGGUGCAUCGUGCCGGGCUAGCCAAUGCCGAGCUUGCAAAAGCCGGUGGGUGGGUCGUGGCGUGGUGUGCAGCGCUGUACGCUUGCUGCAUGGCGGGUCAACAUCGGUUGCGGGCGGGUGAUGCGCGUGCGGGCAAUGUACCAGCAGCCUCGGCUGCUGGACUUAUAGGCCCGGACUGCUGGCCUGCCGGCGACCGAGGAACAGUUUGCGGCCCAUGCCUCUCGGGGCGGGGCGGGUGCGGUUCGUGGUGGCGCGGGAUGCCUUGACAGCCUGGCUGACCUGGCGUCCUUUGCGCUGCCGUGGCCGUGCCUGACCACUGGUGGGCCAAGGAUGUUGACGAAAUGGCGCUCAACGACCCGUCUUGAAACACGGACCAAGGAGUCUGACCCAAGUGCGAGUAUUUGGGUGGUAAACCCGGAUGCGCAAUGAAAGUGACCCUGGCAGGAAGCGGUCCCCACGGGGGCUGUGGCACUGCCGACCGAUCCGUACGUGCGGUCGCAAGACCGCAUGGAUUUGAGUAGGAGCACUUGGGACAGGACCCGAAAGAUGGUGAACUAUGCCCGAGUAGGAUGAAGCCAGAGGAAACUCUGGUGGAGGUCCGUAGCGGUUCUAACGUGCAAAUUGAUCGUCGAACUUGGGUAUAGGGGCGAAAGACUAAUCGAACCAUCUAGUAGCUGGUUCCCGC